rnacentral:lncRNA from 1 species
GCCUGUUCACACGGAAUCCUCGGCGCGCUCCGGGGAAUGCUCUGUCCGAAGUGGAGUGAGUGAACUGGGUGUGAAGGAAAUUCUGCACAGCGAGGCCAGUGUCAGGGCUGGUAAUAAAACUCGGGUCUCCUGAGCCUCGGUCCAGUGCUCUGCGGACUAGACCGGACUGCUUUUAAGGACUAAGCUGGUCAUGGCGUCUGAACUCCGCUCUCCCCUCUGCAGUUUGAAUUCAGCUCACAGAAUUCUGGGUCCCUUUUUGAAGAGCCUGCUGGCCCAGUCUGGCCUGUGGCUCCUCUCCUGUCCUUGAUCUGAUGAGUUGCUGGGUAUGCUGGAGGACACGCUGGGGGAACUUGCACAGUGUCGGUUUGCACCAUGUCUGCCACUAGACAGAACUUUGCAGCGUUGUUGUAGCCACGUUGGCCCCAGGAUAUUAGCGAGACAAGUGGCUUGCAAGUGGCCUGUUAAUCCCAUCUCAGGCUGUCCGGAGUGAAGGAGCUGAAGUUGCUCAGUGGGAUUGAAUUCUGUCUCUACCCUACUCCCUCCGGGCUCCAUCUGUAUAUUCGGUUAAUAACAUACUGUCUGUUCCGUGCUUUAAAGAGACACUGAAACUAAAAACUGCUUGAAAACAGACUUCCUCCUUCUGCUUCUCCUAAGCCCUCGCUGUCGGAACCGAGGCGAGUCUACACUACAGAAUUAAGUCAACCUAAGUUAUGUUGACGUGCACUGCAGCAAUGAAAGCGGUUUUACACGGCCACGCUACACUCCUUGUGUCGGCGGCGUGCGUCCUCACCAGGAGCACUUGCACUGAUUUGCACUGUCAGUGCGGGGUGUACUGAAGGGGCUGCUCACUAUGGAUGCUGCUUGGCAUUUCCUUUAGUUUGUCAAUUUCACUUACAGUCAGUUUCGCCUUCCCUUUUC